CAUUGAAUGCACCUCUCAGUUCACCCCACGUGAGGGCACCUAGCUCAGCGACCAAUCAGAGCCUACCCAGGCCGCGUUGACCCUGUCAGCCAGGAAGUGAGGUGAAAGUGCAUGGUGCUCCCGGGUUUUUCUCAUCUCAGCAAGAGGCGUGGAGGUAUCUGCUACUCAAACCGAGAAAUCCACGGACGAAAGAGAGGAAAAACUCAGAAUUGAGAGGAAGGGAAGCGAGCAUACUUACCUGCUGGAAGUCCGGAGUCGAGUGGCUGGAUGAAGGAGAGAAGCAACGUUGGUCAGGUUUUUGGAGAAGGCAGAAAAGUCCGAGGACCAGGACAAAAUUCCGGUCGUGAUAGAUGGCGAGCCAACCACUUUGAGGACGAUCCACCCCAAAGAAGAUACACACCCACACACUCAUACAUUCCAAUUACACUCACAAGGACCUUUGAGGUUGGCUUUUGCCAACUUAACUCUAAAUUCUUAAAGGGCCCCAACGAGUACUUUGAUUUUGUUUAAGUGUGCACACUAUUUAUUUUAUUUUAUACUUUAUCUGUACAAAUUGGACAAAUAUCUGUUAUAUCUUGUAACAAUACAAGAGUGGCUACUCAAAAGUUGACAUUGUGUCCAGGUCAUUAUUGCUGCUCAAUACUUUGGCUCCAUACGAAUUUGGUGUCUUCUGAUACUGGCCAGGGCCUCAUUACGAGCCCAAGUAGUUAUUGUGCUGUAAUUCACCUUUAUACAUUAAAGUUGGUUACAUACACAGUCAAUCAUACCGUGGAAGAGGGUUCGUGUUCAGGACUGAGGCUCACCAGCAGGUCAGGAUGGUCUGCACGGACAAAAAAGAUAAAUGAAUCACCUCAGACGCUUGUGAGCAUGCAUUCAACUGUGACACCUAUCUGCGUCACUUCACUGCAGCGGAAUAUAAGCAGAUUUGAAAAUGCAUUUAUAUUAUUUAAAUAAAACAGUUUUGCAGUUUCA